GAGUUUGAUCGUGGCUCAGAUUGAACGCUGGCGGCAUGCCUUACACAUGCAAGUCGAACGGCAGCACGGGAGCUUGCUCCUGGUGGCGAGUGGCGAACGGGUGAGUAAUGCAUCGGAACGUAUCCUGGAGUGGGGGAUAACGUAGCGAAAGUUACGCUAAUACCGCAUAUUCUGUGAGCAGGAAAGCGGGGGACCUUCGGGCCUCGCGCUCUUGGAGCGGCCGAUGUCGGAUUAGCUAGUUGGUGAGGUAAAGGCUCACCAAGGCGACGAUCCGUAGCAGGUCUGAGAGGAUGAUCUGCCACACUGGAACUGAGACACGGUCCAGACUCCUACGGGAGGCAGCAGUGGGGAAUUUUGGACAAUGGGGGCAACCCUGAUCCAGCCAUGCCGCGUGAGUGAAGGAGGCC
rnacentral:rRNA from 1 species